CAGAUUUCCAGUGUCUCAGACAAAAAGCAUAUCCAUCUCUGUGACUUAAGAAUCUUUUAAUGGAGGAAGAGCCAGUGCACUGACAACUUCUGAAACAGGAGGAGGAAGGAACUUUAGAAAAUCCAUGAGAAAUUGCAAAGUUUUAUCACAUGAAAAUGCCUGAGACCAGCAUUACACAAUCUGAAUGGCAGUGCAUUGCUACCACAUACAAAUGAGCCUCACUGGAACCCAUUCAUGAAAAUAUACGUGAUUACCAGUGUGCCCCUACAUAGAAAGUGCUUCAACAUGGAAGACAGUACAAUGCAAGCCUUUUUAUUUAGAAAGGACAUCCCCACUGAUCUCUAAACCACAGUACUGCUUCUACUAUAAAACAUGUAAGAAAUUUGCCCUGCUUCCAGGAAAGAAGCAGGGGGAAAAAAAGAAGAGGUCUUUGCAGAGGGGGAACAGUUUCA